AACAAAGCCGCUUUCCAUGAUACCCGCAUGGACCGUAACUAUUGCUGAUGAUGCCAUCCUAGAAGCCAGACCCUCGCUCCAGAAGAAAGCAAGAAAAUGUUGAAGCACGCGCUUGAGCGUCUUCUGAGAAACUCGGAGAGAAAUUUACGAUCUUCGUUCUUGCUAUCAUCAUCAAGAAUUAUGAGACGGAGGAGUUUGUGCACGAAAGCUGUCCGAGCAGAGAGUGGAAGGGAGAGAGCGGAGUGCGUGGUGAUUGGGGCCGGUGUGGUGGGACUAGCAGUGGCCAGAGAGCUCGCCCUCAGAGGCAAGGAAGUACUGGUUCUCGAUUCCGCCCCCACUUUCGGCACCGGCACCAGCUCUCGCAACAGCGAAGUCAUCCACGCCGGCAUUUACUACCCUCCCCAUUCUCUCAAGGCAAUUCUCUGUGUAAGAGGAAGAGAAAUGCUGUACGAGCUCUGCUCUGAGCAUGACAUUCCUCAUAAACAAAUUGGUAAGCUCAUAGUUGCCACUGGAGCCUCAGAGAUUCCAAAGUUGAAUAAUUUAAUGAAUCUUGGAAUUCAGAAUGGGGUUAAUGGCUUGAGGAUGAUAGAGAGUUCUGAAGCCAAGAGAAUGGAACCUGAACUGCAAUGUGUCAAAGCCUUACUAUCACCUGUUUCUGGGAUUGUUGAUACUCAUUCCCUAAUGCUAUCUCUAGUGGGGGAAGCUGAAAGUCAUGGAACAACAUUUUCCUUUAAUACUACCGUCAUUGGUGCCCAUCUCGAAAGAAACAACUUGUGCCUCCAUGUUUCUGAUACAAAACGCCUCGAGAACUGGAAUGGAAGAUUUCUACUGCACCCGGACCUAGUACUCAUUCCAGAGUUGGUAGUGAACUGCACAGGCUUGAGUGCACCUGCCCUUGCAAAGAGAUUUGAUGGCCUGCAUAGUGGAGUUAUUCCCCCUGCAUAUUAUGCCCGGGGCUGCUAUUUCACACUCUCUAGUACCAGGAUCCCUCCUUUCAGUCAUUUGAUAUACCCAAUACCAGAAGAUGGUGGCCUUGGAGUGCAUGUUACUGUGGAUCUGGAUGGGCAAGUCAAGUUUGGUCCAGAUGUUGAAUGGAUCAAAGGUAUAGAUGAUAUUUCAAGCUUCCUGAACAGGUUUGAGUAUUCUGUAUGCCCUGAUCGUGCCAAGCGAUUUUACCCAGAGAUAAGAAAGUACUACCCGAAUCUGACAGAUGGAUCUCUAGAACCGGGAUAUGCUGGGAUUCGACCUAAACUGUCAGGACCUCAGCAGUCUCCUGUUGAUUUUGUAAUACAGUUGACAGGUUAGAGGAACUUCAGUGAGAAUCUUUUUGAACCUGGUAUUUAGAGAAGGGUUCAAGUAUCAUCCUUUUGAAUCAGGGGAGUUUGGAAUUAUGAGCUAAUAAUGUCCCAUGGAAAUGGCUGAGGAGAUAUGCAGUGAAGAAUUAUUCUUCUUGAAUGGUGAAGACGCUCAUGGGAUACCUGGUCUUAUUAACCUUUUUGGGAUUGAGUCACCUGGUUUGACUUCAUGCUUGGCAAUUGCAGAACAUAUUGCUGCUAGAUUCUCGAGAUAAAUUACUUUGAUAAGAUGGAAGUCCAUUCUGUAAUUUAUAUAUAUUUGAACGAAAAGAUCUGUCGAUCAUGAUUCUAUAUGUCUUAUGCUGAUCGUAAGUUUUUUUUUUUU